rnacentral:rRNA from 1 species
UACAGAGGUCCCAAGCGUUGUUCGGAUUCACGGGGCGUAAAGGGUGCGUAGGCGGUCGGGUAAGUCUGAUGUGAAAUCUCACAGCUUAACUGUGAAACUGCAUUGGAUACUAUCCGGCUAGAGGAAUGGAGGGGAGACUGGAAUACUUGGUGUAGCAGUGAAAUGCGUAGAUAUCAAGUGGAACACCAGUGGCGAAGGCGAGUCUCUGGACAUUUCCUGACGCUGAGGCACGAAAGCCAGGGGAGCAAACGGG